GAAGUAAUCUGCAGAUUUUCAGAACGGAAACAUAAACAUAUUGAAGAUAAUUAUAUCGAUUUUAUGCCAAAUCAUACUACCUCGGAUAUGUACAUUGAGGACGGAGAACAUUUAUUGCGCGAUACCGAACACUUAUUAAGCAAUGUGAGCAGCGAUACCCAUUUUGAUUGGGCCCGUUAUAAUCCCUUGAAAAUAUGGGAUUUUCUUUUGGAAAAUUGUCUUAUGCCAAUGGUAGUGAAAGUUUCAGCUGAAUUUUUGAAUGAUAAUGAAGAAUAUUCGCAACUUAAUAUUUCAUAUUUUCUUAAAGAGUUAAUGAAAAUUUAAAAGCCGUCUUAAAGGGAAGUUGUUGCUCGAUUGUUAGACAAAUAUAAAUGUUAAUGUACUUUCUGAACUUGUUUUUAGCAUUAUUGGUGGCCAAAUCAAGGAUCGCCUUUUAAAGCUAAUUGUUGAUAAAUGUUUAAUGGAUUCUGUACCAGCGACUAUGGAUGAAUAUCAUAAAUCGACACUAGUGCGGGAUGUUUUAAGAUUUGAGCAAACAUUGGUCGAUAAUUUCUUUAUUCAUCCCUUAUCUUUGGCAUACAGUGAACCUUCAUCUAUAUGCGUCGGUGGGCGGCGGCGCUGUUUCAAUCUAAAGUAAAAAAUGGCCGAUUUCCCAUAAUAAUCCAAUCAAUUGACUCUGUGAUGUUUUUGCCUGUUAGCAGCGUAAACAGCACGCAAAGUACGCACAAUAAGCGCAUUAUAAGCUUGAUCGAACGCCCAUGAAGAAGAUGAUAUCGCCCAACAGGAGGCCAAUCAAUUUACUAUGGAUUCUGAGGAAUCAACAGGACUGUAUCAAACGACUGUGCGUUUAGAAAUUAAAU